rnacentral:rRNA from 1 species
AUUGAACGCUGGCGGCAGGCCUAACACAUGCAAGUCGAGCGGACGAAGGGAGCUUGCUCCUGGAUUCAGCGGCGGACGGGUGAGUAAUGCCUAGGAAUCUGCCUGGUAGUGGGGGAUAACGUCCGGAAACGGGCGCUAAUACCGCAUACGUCCUGAGGGAGAAAGUGGGGGAUCUUCGGACCUCACGCUAUCAGAUGAGCCUAGGUCGGAUUAGCUAGUUGGUGGGGUAAAGGCCUACCAAGGCGACGAUCCGUAACUGGUCUGAGAGGAUGAUCAGUCACACUGGAACUGAGACACGGUCCAGACCCCUACGGGAGGCAGCAGUGGGGAAUAUUGGACAAUGGGCGAAAGCCUGAUCCAGCCAUGCCGCGUGUGUGAAGAAGGUCUUCGGAUUGUAAAGCACUUUAAGUUGGGAGGAAGGGCAGUAAGUUAAUACCUUGCUGUUUUGACGUUACCAACAGAAUAAGCACCGGCUAACUUCGUG